rnacentral:rRNA from 1 species
UCGCCGAAAGAUGAGCCCGCACUUGAUUAGAUAGUUGGUAAGGUAACAGCUUACCAAGUCUACGAUCUAUAGCUGUUUUUAGAGGAGAUCAGCCACAUUGGGACUGAGACACGGCCCAGACUCCUACGGGAGGCAGCAGUGGGGAAUCUUGGACAAUGGGGGAAACCCUGAUGUAGCCAUGCCGCGUGAGUGAAGAAGGUCCUUAGGAUCUGUAAAACUCUUUCGUCAGGGAAGAAAUGACGUA